AGGGCCCCCCAGUCCACCUCCAGUCCCCCCAGCAUGGACAGCAGACGAUCCACCUCCUCCAUGUCUAAGGGUUCUCUUUCAGGGCUCCAAUCCCAGACAGCUUCUGUCCCAGCUGUUAGGAAGGAGUUGAGAGCUGCAGGCUGCCUACCAGAGUACGAGAGGGACAUCCUCUGUAAGUUGUCUGCAAUCCGUAAAAAGCUGCUCAGAGAGCAGAAACGGGCGGAGGGCCAGAUGAUGCGCUCAGAGUGAGAGGAGCUGGACUCACUU